CACUGAAAAGCUAACUUGGUGAUAAGCAUUAGCCUUUUAAGCUAAAGAUCGGUGACUACCACCCACCUUCAGUGA
rnacentral:tRNA from 1 species